rnacentral:rRNA from 1 species
UACGAAGGGGGCUAGCGUUGUUCGGAAUUACUGGGCGUAAAGCGCGUGUAGGCGGGUCUUUAAGUCAGGGGUGAAAUGCCAAGGCUCAACCUUGGAACUGCCUUUGAUACUGGAGAUCUUGAGUCCGGGAGAGGUGAGUGGAACUGCGAGUGUAGAGGUGAAAUUCGUAGAUAUUCGCAAGAACACCAGUGGCGAAGGCGGCUCACGUGGCCCGGAACGCGACGCUGAGACGCGAAAGCGUGGGGAGCAAA